rnacentral:rRNA from 1 species
GGUUAAGCGACUAAGCGUACACGGUGGAUGCCCUGGCAGUCAGAGGCGAUGAAGGACGUGCUAAUCUGCGAAAAGCGUCGGUAAGGUGAUAUGAACCGUUAUAGCCGGCGAUGUCCGAAUGGGGAAACCCAGUGCAAUUCGUUGCACUAUCGUUAACUGAAUACAUAGGUUAACGAGGCGAACCGGGGGAACUGAAACAUCUAAGUACCCCGAGGAAAAGAAAUCAACCGAGAUUCCCCCAGUAGCGGCGAGCGAACGGGGAGCAGCCCAGAGUCUGAAUCAGCUUGUGUGUUAGUGGAACGGUCUGGAAAGUCCGACGGUACAGGGUGAUAGUCCCGUACACCAAAAUGCACAGGCUGUGAACUCGAAGAGUAGGGCGGGACACGUGGUAUCCUGUCUGAAUAUGGGGGGACCAUCCUCCAAGGCUAAAUACUCCUGACUGACCGAUAGUGAACCAGUACCGUGAGGGAAAGGCGAAAAGAACCCCGGCGAGGGGAGUGAAAAAGAACCUGAAACC